UACGUAGGGUGCGAGCGUUGUCCGGAUUUAUUGGGCGUAAAGAGCGCGCAGGCGGCCAAGUCAGUCGAAUGUGAAAGCCCCCGGCUUAACUGGGGAGGGUCAUUCGAUACUGCUCGGCUCGAAGACAGGAGAGGGAAGUGGAAUUCCCGGUGUAGUGGUGAAAUGCGUAGAUAUCGGGAGGAACACCAGUGGCGAAGGCGACUUUCUGGCCUGUUCUUGACGCUGAGGCGCGAAAGCUAGGGGAGCAAACGGG
rnacentral:rRNA from 1 species